UAAACAUAAUUGAUAACCUACAAUACAA
rnacentral:sRNA from 1 species